rnacentral:rRNA from 1 species
AGUGAACGCUGGCGGUAGGCCUAACACAUGCAAGUCGAACGGCAGCACAGGAGAGCUUGCUCUCUGGGUGGCGAGUGGCGGACGGGUGAGGAAUACAUCGGAAUCUACUCUGUCGUGGGGGAUAACGUAGGGAAACUUACGCUAAUACCGCAUACUACCUCCGGGUGAAAGCAGGGGACCUUCGGGCCUUGCGCGAUUGAAUGAGCCGAUGUCGGAUUAGCUAGUUGGCGGGGUAAAGGCCCACCAAGGCGACGAACCGUAGCUGGUCUGAGAGGAUGAUCAGCCACACUGGAACUGAGACACGGUCCAGACUCCUACGGGAGGCAGCAGUGGGGAAUAUUGGACAAUGGGCGCAAGCCUGAUCCAGCCAUACCGCGUGGGUGAAGAAGGCCUUCGGGUUGUAAAGCCCUUUUGUUGGGAAAGAAAUCCAGCUGGCUAAUACCCGGUUGGGAUGACGGUACCCAGAGAAUAAGCACCGGCUAACUUCGUGCCAGCAGCCGCCGUAA